rnacentral:lncRNA from 1 species
UUUCCUCCUCUUUUCCUCCCUCCUCUUCCUCUCUCUGCUUUUCCUCCCUCCUCUUUUAGUUUCCUCCUCUUUUCCUCCUUCUUCUUUCCUUCCUCCUUUUCCUCCCUCCUCUUCCUCUCUCUCCUCUUCCUCUCUCUCCUCUUCCUCUCUCUCCUCUUCCUCCCUCCCCCUUUUCCUUCUUCCUCUUCCUCCUCCUCCCUCCUCUUUUCCUUCUUCCUCUUCCUCUCUGGGCUUUUCCUUCCUCUUUUCCUCCCUUCUCUCUUCCCUCCCCCUUCUCCCUCCCUCCCCUUUUCCUUCCUCCUCUUCCUCCCUCCUCUUUACCUUUUGAUUUCCUCCUCUUUUCCUCCCUCCUCUUCCUCUCUCUGCUUUUCCUCCCUCCUCUUUUCCUUCCUCCUCUUCCUCCCUCCUGCCUUCCUCCUCUUUUCCUUCUUCCUCUUUUCCUCCCUCUUCUCCUUCUUCCUCUUUUCCUCCAUUCUCUCUUUCCUUCCUUCUUUUCCUCCCUCUUCUUUUCCUCCCUCCCCUCUUUCUCCCUCCUCUUCCUUCCUCUUUUUCCUCCCUCCCCCUCUUCCUCCCUCCCCUUUUCCUCUCUCUGCUUUUCCUCCCUCCUCUUUUCCUUCCUCCUCUUCCUCCCUCCUGCCUUCCUCCUCUUUUCCUUCUUCCUCUUUUCCUCCCUCUUCUCCUUCUUCCUCUUUUCCUCCAUUCUCUCUUUCCUUCCUUCUUUUCCUCCCUCUUCUUUUCCUCCCUCCCCUCUUUCUCCCUCCUCUUCCUUCCUCUUUUUCCUCCCUCCCCCUCUUCCUCCCUCCCCUUUUCCUCUCUCUGCUUUUCCUCCUUCCUCUCUGCCUUCCUCCUCUUCCUUCCUCCACUUUUCCUUCCCUUUUCCUCCCUCCUUUCCCUCUCUCCGCUUUUUCUUCCUCCUCUUCCUCCCUCCACUUUUCCUUCCUCCUCUUUUCCUUCCUCUUUUUCCUCUUUCCUCUUUUCCUCCCCCUUCUCCUCCUUCCUCUUUUCCUUCCCUUUUCCUCCCUCCUCUUCCUCCCUCCCCUUUUCCUCCCUUCUCUUCCUCCUCUCUGCCUCCCUCCUCUUCCUCCCUCCUCUUUUUCUUCUUCCUCUUUUCCUCCAUUCUCUCUUUCCUUCCCUUUUCCUCCCUCCUCUUUUCCUCCCUCCUUUUCCUCUCUCUGUUUUUCCUUCUUCCUCUUCCUCCCUCCUCUUUUCCUCCCUCCUCUUCCUCCCUCCUCUUCCUCCCUCCUCUUCCUCCCUCCUCUUCCUCCCUCCUCUUCCUCCCUCCUCUUCCUCCCUCCUCUUCCUCCCUCCUCUUCCUCCCUCCUCUUCCUCCCUCCUCUUCCUCCCUCCUCUUCCUCCCUCCUCUUCCUCCCUCCUCUUCCUCCCUCCUCUUCCUCCCUCCUCUUCCUCCCUCCUCUUCCUCCCUCCUCUUCCUCCCUCCUCUUCCUCCCUCCUCUUCCUCCCUCCUCUUCCUCCCUCCUCUUCCUCCCUCCUCUUCCUCCCUCCUCUUCCUCCCUCCUCUUCCUCCCUCCUCUUUUCCUUUUGAUUUCCUCCUCUUUUCCUUCCUCCUCUUCCUCUCUCUGCUCUUCCUCUCUCCCCUUUUCCUUCCUCCUUUUCCUCCCUCCACUAUUCCUUCCUCUUCUUCUUCCUUCUUCUCCCUCCUCCUCUUCCUCCCUCCCCUUCUCCCUCCUCUUUUCCUCCCUCCUCUUCCUCCCUUCUUUCUUCCCUCCCCUUUUCCUUCCCUUUUCCUCCCUCUUUUUUUUCCUCUCUCCUCUUUUCCUUUCUCUUUUCCUUCCUGUUUUUCAUCCUUCCUCCUUUCCCUUCCUCCUCUUCCUCCCUCCUCUUUUCCUUUUGGUUUCCUCCUCUUUUUCUUCCUCCCCUUCCUCUCUCCACUUUUCCUUCCUUUUUCCUCCCUCCCCUUUUCCUCCCUCUUCUCCUUUCUCUUUUCCUCCCUCCUCUUCCUCCCCCCUCCCCUCUUCCUCCCCCCUUUUCCUCCCCGUUCUGCCCCAUUUUUCCCCGGUGGCGACUGGUUUUUCCUCUCCCCGGUCCUUCCAUAGACCCUUCUUUCUGUGGGUGUCGGGCUCCUCUCCCCGGACUCUUUCUCUGCCGCCCACCAAGGUACCUCCUCCUCCUCUUCCUCCCCCUCCCGCACAGCGGAUCUGCCUUUGGGGAAGAGCAGGAAAAACCAAAGAAAUGGGUAAAAACUAG